rnacentral:rRNA from 1 species
GUCCCGCCUGCCCGGUGACUAAUAGUUUAACGGCCGCGGUAUUUUGACCGUGCAAAGGUAGCGCAAUCACUUGUCCUUUAAAUGAAGACCUGUAUGAAUGGCACCACGAGGGCUCAACUGUCUCCUUUCUCCUGUCAAUGAAAUUGAUCCCCCCGUGCAGAAGCGGGGAUUUACCCAUAAGACGAGAAGACCCUAUGGAGCUUCAGGCACCAGAACAGACUAUGUUAAGCACUCUAAGCACAAAAGACAAAACUAAUUAAACCCUGUUCCUAAUGCCUUUGGUUGGGGCGACCGCGGGGAAACAAAAACCCCCCAUGUGGAUUAGUAGUACCCUCCACUCCUAAAACCCAGAGCCACAGCCCUAAGUAACAGAACCUCUGACCAUUAAUGAUCCGGUAUACCCGAUCAACGAACCAAGUUACCCUAGGGAUAACAGCGCAAUCCCCUUCUAGAGUCCAUAUCGACAAGGGGGUUUACGACCUCGAUGUUGGAUCAGGACAUCCUAUUGGUGCAGCCGCUAUUAAGGG